rnacentral:misc_RNA from 1 species
AAAGACGUUUAGAUCCAGACAGAUAUGUAAGUUUUUGCAGGAUAGUGGAAUACAAUUUUUAUUAUUAAUAAUGAACAGUAGUUCUGGUAUUGGAAAACUAGCAAGUAUCCUGGAGACAUAGCAGCAAGUUCUCUUUGAUUUGAUUUCUUCAGGGGAAGACAAGAAAUGGCACCAAGCUAUUAUCACAAGGAUGUUCUGCCUCUUGCAGCAAUGCUUGCAACUUUGACUGCUGGUGUAGGCUUAAACACUCUGUUCAAAGCUGCUUCUUUGGAAGGGAUGAGCUACUUUGUCUUCCUCUUUUACUCGAACUUUAUUAACACUCUUCUCAUGCUUCCCAUUCCCUUUCUCCUCUGCAGGUAUCUCUCUCUGCCUUUCUUCUGAUAUCACUGGAUUCUGCAUAUUUUAGUUUUGCAGAGAUUUGUGUAUAUAUCUUUCUUUAAUUAACUUUGUUUCUGAAUCUGUGCAGUAGAACUAUGGUUCCCUUGUUCAAAUUCCCUCUCCUCUCUAGAAUCUGUGCGCUUGGGAUUAUUGGGUAUUGAAAUGUUGUGCAAGAAACUCUGUUUUUUCUGUUAUUCAAAAUGAUUGAAAAGAAUUUGAAAACCCAAUUUUUUUUUUCUUAAUUUUUGGAGGUCAGGCUUUUUUCUCAACUCAUAGGAUAUAAGGGAAUCCAAUAUAGUUCUCCAACUAUGGCUUCUGCAAUGAGCAACGUCACUCCAGCUUGGACCUUUUUAUUUGCAGUCAUUUUCAGGUUCUCUGCUACUUUCUUGGUGUAUAAUUAAUUAUCUUACAUGGUAAAUGAUGAAUCCCUUCCCUCUUUUUCUUCUGUAUUAUUAUCCCAAAAAGGAUGGAAAAACUGGAUUUGAGGAGCUCAAGCACUCAGAGUAAAAUCAUUGGUACCAUAGUCUCAAUAUUGGGUGCAUUAAUGAUGGUUCUCUACAAAGGGCCAAAAAUUUUGUCAUCAACUUCAUCUGAAACAUCGCCCAUUUCAUCACUUCAUCAUCAGCAUAUGGGAUUACCACUAUCAGAUUGGGUCAUUGGUGGACUUUUACUUGCAAUCCAGCAUAUUGGCUAUGCAUUCCUUUAUAUUCUUCAGACCCAGAUGAUGCAAAUAUGUCCAUCAGAGCUAAUUAUAACAUUCUUCUGCUACCUAUACACAACUAUAAUAUCAGCACCAGUUUGUUUCAUAGCAGAACAAGAGUUGAGUGCUUGGAGAAUAAGGCCUGAUGUAACAUUGGUUGCGCUUGUAUACUCUGGAAUUCUUGGAGGAGCAUCUCUGGGAAUUAUACACUUAUGGUGCCUGCGCAUGAAGGGUCCUGUAUAUGUAGCAACAUUUACUCCACUGUCAAUCGCCAUAGCAGCUGCUAUGGCUAUUAUAUUCCUUGGAGAUGCUCUUCAUCUAGGGAGUGUCAUCGGAGCAGUUUUGAUAUCAAGUGGAGUGUAUGCUGUGAUAUGGGGAAAGGCAAAAGAAGAAAAGGAGAGAGAGAUAUGCAGCUCUAGCAGCUUGGAAUCAUCCUAUGAUGGUACAACACCUUUGUUGAAAGGUCAUGGAGUUGAAGAAUCAAUGAACAAGAGCGGAUGCUGAUGAAUCUCUUCUGUUAACACAUUUUUCAUUCCUUUUGUCUUCUCAUAAUUAAUGAAGUCAAUAGAGACAUCAAAAAUUAUAAUUAAUCAAAAUAACUAUAUGCUAUUCAUACAUGUCUG